AUAAAGUAUUCAGCUCUUAGUAAUUGUGCAAUAAAUGUUGGUUUACUAACAGCCUAGCAACAUAAUAAGGCUGUUGGAUUUGACAGAACGUGCAGAAAAUAAGUGCUGAUUGUUUCUCAGAGCUCGCCUUUGUAUUUCUGCUAAGUAUAUUUAGCUAGUCUGCUGACGAAAUGAAAAACUGAACAGUGGAAUUUGUACUCAGGAAGUUAUGUAACAUUUUAUGACAGGUCUUAAAAUAAUGAAAAUUCAGCCACUGAAUGUUUCAAACAUGUAUUUGCUGUGUUGCCAAAGUAGAAAGAGCAGAAGAGAACCACCAUGGGAAGAAAGACUAUUUUGCUUCUGAUUGCAGGAGUACUUGGGCAUAUUAUGUUUAUAUUCCUCUCCCAGAUAACAUUAAGGAACCCUGGCAACUAGUGUGGAUAGCUAUACCUGUGAAAAUGAUAACAAAUUUGGCUUUGUUAGUCGAAUUCUUGGGAAUCAAUCAUUUUGUAAACACCGCAAUGUUCUUCAUGAACUUUCAAGAAGUCCUACCUACAUCUGAUGAAAAUGUUACUGUGAUGGAGACGACUUUUAAUAAUGUUCCUGUCCGUGUAUAUGUGCCAACACGAAAGUCAGAGAUACUGAGAAGAGGCUUAUUUUACGUUCAUGGUGGUGGCUGGUGA
rnacentral:lncRNA from 1 species